CCGGGCUCCUGCUCCUGUCGACGUGGGUCCUCGCGGGCGCCGAGAUCGCUUGGGGCACGACGGGCGGUCCCAGGCACCUCCGGGCUGCGGGUUCGCGGCCACCGGCGCUUCCUCUCCUCUUGCCGCGGGCAGUGGCGAGCCAGUGGCCGGAGGAGCCGGCGACCGCGCGGAGAGCAGCUUCGCCGGAGCGCCUGCCAGGCGGCGAGAUGCGGGCGGAAGCCGCGGGGACGUCGCCUCCAGGCGCGCCGUGGGUCCAGGGCGUCCCGGCACCCGGCAAGCUGGGCGGCGCGAGGAGGAGUCGCCGGGCGCAGCCCCCCAGCGCCCUGGAGCGCGGAGACACCCGGGCCCCUGCCACGGCCGAUGGCUCCAAAGGAAGCCGCCCUCUGGCCCAGGGUCCUCGGGAGGAGGUGCGCGCUGCGCGGACUGGGGGCUCGGCCGCCGAGGAGCUCCGUCUGCCCAGCACCUCGUUCGCGCUGACCGGGGACUCGGCCCACAAUCAAGCCAUGGUGCACUGGUUCGGGCACAACAGCAGCGUCAUUCUGAUCCUGACGAAGCUGUACGACUUCAACCUGGGAAGCGUGACUGAGAGCUCUCUGUGGAGGUCAACAGAUUACGGCACCACCUAUGAAAAGCUGAAUGACAAAGUGGGUUUGAAGACUGUUCUCAGUUACCUCUACGUCAAUCCCACCAACCAAAGGAAGAUCAUGCUUCUUAGUGAUCCUGAGAUGGAGAGCAGCAUAUUGAUCAGCUCAGAUGAAGGAGCAACCUAUCAAAAGUAUCGGCUUACCUUCUACAUCCAGAGCCUACUCUUUCAUCCCAAGCAAGAGGACUGGGUGCUGGCAUACAGUUUGGAUCAAAAGCUCUACAGCUCCAUGGACUUUGGAAGACGGUGGCAACUCAUGCAUGAACGCAUCACGCCUAACAGGUUUUACUGGUCGGUGGCUGGACUGGACAAGGAGGCAGACCUGGUGCACAUGGAGGUGCGCACCGCGGAUGGAUACGCUCACUACCUCACCUGCAGGAUCCAGGAGUGUGCCGAGACAACUCGGAGUGGCCCCUUUGCCCGCUCCAUUGACGUCAGCUCUCUGGUUGUCCAGGAUGAAUAUAUCUUCAUUCAGGUCACAACAGGUGGAAGAGCCAGCUACUACGUGUCCUAUCGGAGAGAGGCCUUUGCUCAGAUAAAGCUGCCCAAGUACUCCUUGCCGAAGGACAUGCACAUCAUCAGCACAGAUGAGAACCAAGUGUUCGCGGCCGUCCAAGAGUGGAACCAGAACGACACCUACAACCUCUACAUCUCAGACACACGAGGGAUCUACUUCACGCUGGCCAUGGAGAACAUUAAGAGCAGCCGAGGUCAAAUGGGAAACGUCAUCAUUGAGCUGUAUGAGGUAGCAGGUAUCAAAGGGAUAUUCCUGGCAAACAAGAAGGUGGAUGAGCAGGUGAAGACAUACAUCACGUACAACAAAGGCAGGGACUGGCGCCUGCUGCAAGCUCCAGAUGUGGACCUGAGAGGAAGUCCAGUCCACUGCCUGCUGCCCUUCUGCUCUUUACACCUGCACCUACAGCUUUCUGAAAACCCAUAUUCUUCAGGAAGGAUCUCCAGCAAGGAGUCAGCCCCAGGACUUGUGGUGGCCACAGGCAACAUUGGUCCGGAGCUCUCCGAUACUGAUUUUGGUGUGUUCAUCUCCUCUGAUGGUGGAAACACAUGGAGACAGAUCUUUGAUGAAGAGUACAAUGUCUGGUUCCUAGACUGGGGUGGCGCCCUGGUAGCCAUGAAACAGAGACCUCUGCCUGUAAGGCAUUUGUGGGUGAGUUUUGAUGAGGGCCGCUCCUGGGACAAGUAUGGUUUCACUCUGCAUCCGCUCUUCGUGGACGGGGCGCUGGUGGAGGCUGGAUUGGACACCCACAUCAUGACCGACUAUGGCUAUGAGAGACAUGGAGAGAGCCAGUGUGUUCCUGCAUUCUGGUAUAAUCCAGCAUCCCCCUCAAAGGACUGCAGCCUUGGGCAAAGUUACCUUAACAGCACUGGGUACCGGAGAAUUGUGUCCAACAACUGCACAAAUGGACUAAGAGACAAGUAUUCUGCCAAGGCCCAGAUGUGUCCUGGAAAAGCCCCUCGGGGCCUCCACGUGGUGACAAAUGAUGGGCGCCUGGUGGCAGAGCAGGGACACAAUGCAACCUUCAUCAUCCUCAUGGAGGAGGGUGAUCUCCAGAGGACAAAUAUCCAGCUUGACUUUGGGGAUGGGAUUGCUGUGUCCUAUGCUAACUUCAGCCCCAUCGAGGAUGGCAUCAAGCAUGUCUAUAAGAGUGCAGGGAUCUUCCAGGUGACAGCCUAUGCAGAGAACAACCUUGGUUCGGAUACCGCUGUCCUUUUCCUGCAUGUGGUUUGUCCCGUGGAGCAUGUUCAUCUCCGAGUUCCAUUUGUCGCCAUCAGAAAUAAAGAGGUCAACAUCAGUGCAGUUGUGUGGCCGAGUCAGCUGGGAACCCUCACCUACUUCUGGUGGUUUGGCAACAGCACCAAGCCCCUCAUCACCCUGGACAGCAGCAUUUCCUUCACGUUCCUGGAGGAGGGAACCAGCACCAUCACGGUCCAGGUGGCUGCUGGGAACGCCCUCAUCCAGGACACAAAAGACAUUGCAGUUCAUGAAUACUUCCAGUCUCAGCUCUUAUCCUUCUCUCCCAACCUGGAUUACCACAAUCCUGACAUUCCUGAGUGGAGGCAGGAUAUUGGCAACGUCAUCAAGAGAGCUCUGGUUAAAGUCACCAGUGUCCCAGAAGAGCAGAUCCUUGUCGCCGUGUUCCCUGGCCUCCCCACCUCUGCGGAGCUUUUCAUCCUUCCACCCAAGAAUUUGACGGAGAGGAGGAAAGGCCACGAGGGGGAUCUGGAACAGAUUGUAGAGACUUUGUUCAAUGCUCUGAAUCAGAACUUGGUCCAGUUUGAGCUGAAGCCAGGCGUCCAGGUCAUUGUGUAUGUCACACAGCUGACAUUAGCCCCGCUGGUGGACACUAGUGCUGGACACAGCAGCUCAGCCAUGCUUAUGCUCCUGUCCGUGGUGUUCGUUGGCCUGGCUGUAUUUCUGAUCUACAAGUUUAAAAGGAAAAUUCCCUGGAUUAACAUCUAUGCUCAAGUUCAACACGACAAGGAGCAGGAGAUGAUCGGGUCAGUGAGCCAAAGUGAAAACGCCCCCAAAAUUACUCUCAGUGACUUCACCGAGCCUGAAGAACUGAUGGACAAAGAGCUGGACACCAGAGUCAUAGGAGGCAUUGCCACCAUUGCAAACAGCGAAAGCACAAAGGAGAUCCCCAACUGUACGAGUGUUUAACACCCACCGGCCACGUGUUCAGCCACCUUUCUGACAUUUUAUUUUUGAUGACUUUAUUAUUAUUAUUAUUAUGGAAAAUUGAAAAUGUCUUUUUUACCUUUUGUUUACCAAGGGCCCCCCCCCUUAUAAAUAGCAGGCAGAUACUUAAAUUUGGGGAAAAGGGGCAGUCUUAGGUGAUGAAAAUGAGUCAAAAGGAAUAAAUGACUAUAUCCGUGCUAGGGGCAAAGGAUGCAUCUUCCCACAGCCUCCUUACUUUACUCAGCCAUUGGGAGUGCGGAGACUCCCCUUCUCUCUCUCUCUCAUUUUAAAUUGGAAGUUGGGUUGGUAUUUUGUUAAGUCCUAACUCCUAGGCUCCCACCCAAAUCACCAUCACUCCCUUGACCCGCCCCCAGCACAUACGUAAACAAUACGCACCGUUUCCCAGGUAGAGCUGCAAGAGGUAGGUUGGUGGGGUAUGGACAGGGCUGCAGAGAGUGUGCACACCUUUGUGAAAGAGGCCCUGCCUCGUGCAUGUCAAUAGUGAGGCUGCAGAUGGCUUAUUGUAAAUAAUGACAAUGUAAAUAGCUUUUUAUUUCCUAAGAAAUAAUUUAAUGUUUAGUAAAAAAGAAAACAGAAAAAAGAAUGAUGCGUGUGGUGGCUUUCGCACUCACCCUCCAAGUUGACCCACCCUGCUGACCCAGGCCUGUUUGAUGCGUUGGACUCUGGAUACUUGCCAGCUGUCUGUCACAUUUAACUACCCCAUCUCCACAUCCACGCCAUAGCUGGUUUCUGCUAAGUAUAUAAUGGGAGGUGCGGGGAGAGGGCUUCAUUGGGGCAGUUGGUGCAGAAAGGACUUCACUGACAUCAGAGGACCUGGGAGCCAUUUUUUUUUCAACAGUUGCAGUUGCAUGCAGGAAGUUGCAAGAUGAGGCCCAGAACUGAAUGUUUUAAACUGCAACCCAGAGGGGGUGGUGCAGCUUCUGCCCUAAGACGAGAACUUGAGAAUAUUAGACUGAAAUUUUUUUUUAACUCUAAAAAUCCAGGCAGUGGAUCUAAAGCUGUUGAAAUGUGAAAUGCUCAUGGCAAACUAUGGUCUUUCCUGAGCUCAGGUCCUUCGGGCACAAGGUUCAGUCCAGGCGGUGUCUGUUAGCAUGAGAAGCAUUAGAGAGGUCCAAGGAAGGUGGCAUUUGUGGAAUCUCAAGUCUACACAAACCCUUUAGGCCAAAGGGAGGUCUAGCCUUUCCUGAUAUUAGUCAAAGACAAUUUUAGCAAAGCUGUGCUAUUUGCCUGUCAGAUGUACACAACUUCCUUAAAGUCAAAUGUCUGCCUUCAGUUCCCUUAAGGUAGUUAUUGCCCCUGGAGUGAGUAGCUUUCCAAGCUGAUACUUGCUUUGCUGGGCCCUCAGCCCUUUCACAUAUUUAGCAUACCAGUUCUUUUCCAUAGAGAUACUUAAGCCCACGCAGUGAUCUUUGUUUCUAUUUUUAUUUUUAGGGUCCACCUGAUCACACUUGUUUUAAAGAAUGGUAUCAUAUAUAUAUUAUAUAUGGAAAGGCCACAUUUUGUACCUGCUAAUUUCUGUGGGAUGUCACUGGCAUUCCUCUUCAUGAGACCAAGGGAGCACGUGACAGAGAGAGACCUGGCUAGGUACAGCACAGCUCAGUGUGAAAAGUAUCUCUACAGACCCCGCUUUUUUGUUUCAAGGGUUAAAUGGAGCAGACAAUUGCAAUACUUGUACUAAACACUGGAAUACAAAUGCAUGAGUCAUAUCUAUAUAUACAGUAUAUGUACAUAUACUGUUCUUGGUUUUAUUGUUCCAUUUGAAUAUUUCUACUGUAAAAAAGACAGUGGUUUUGAAAUUGUUGAAAAUAAAUGUAUUUUUGUACCUCAAACCUACGUACUUGGCUGAACUUUCUCUCUGUGCGAUUUUCAUUACCUGUUGUAUCCAUCACA
ensembl:lincRNA